rnacentral:piRNA from 1 species
UGCCAUGGAGAGAAGCUCACCAGUGCUCC